UGCCAGCAGCCGCGGUAAUACGUAGGGUGCAAGCGUUGUCCGGAAUUAUUGGGCGUAAAGAGCUCGUAGGCGGUUUGUCGCGUCUGCUGUGAAAACUGGAGGCUCAACCUCCAGCCUGCAGUGGGUACGGGCAGACUAGAGUGCGGUAGGGGAGAUUGGAAUUCCUGGUGUAGCGGUGGAAUGCGCAGAUAUCAGGAGGAACACCGAUGGCGAAGGCAGAUCUCUGGGCCGUAACUGACGCUGAGGAGCGAAAGCAUGGGGAGCGAACAGGAUUAGAUACCCUGGUAGUCC
rnacentral:rRNA from 1 species